UGCUUAAUGCUGCUAGUGUAUGUAUGUGC
rnacentral:piRNA from 1 species